CCUCUCAUGGCGUAGUGGUAACGCGCCCCAACUAGAGAUCGGGGAGUCGUGAGUUCGAUUCUCACUGCGAAGA
rnacentral:tRNA from 1 species